rnacentral:rRNA from 1 species
UACGUAGGGUGCGAGCGUUGUCCGGAUUUACUGGGCGUAAAGAGCGUGUAGGCGGCCAAACAGGUCCGUUGUGAAAACUGGAGGCUCAACUUCCAGACGUCGACGGAAACCGUGUGGCUAGAGUCCGGAAGAGGAGAGUGGAAUUCCUGGUGUAGCGGUGAAAUGCGCAGAUAUCAGGAAGAACACCCGUGGCGAAGGCGGCUCUCUGGGACGGUACUGACGCUGAGACGCGAAAGCGUGGGGAGCGAACAGG